UCUACUCUACAUCUCUUUUUUGACUUUAUAAGCACAGUAAGAUGCACUUUCCGGCGAUUAUAUUAGUUCUUGGAUAUUUAGCAGUCCCAAUUCCAACAAAGCCUAGUCCUUUAUUGGGAAAGUAAAUACAUCUCUACCGCUUUUAUUUUACAUUUUUAGUAAUGUAACAAAAAUCAAGUAAAUGUUUUUAAUGUAAACUCUAUCGCAAAAAAUUAAAAUAAAUAUAUAAAUAUACAUAUAUGUA